rnacentral:rRNA from 1 species
GAAAUUUAAGAGCAUAUGGUGGAUGCCUAGACUCUAACAGGCGAUGAAGGACGUGGCUUAGCUGCGAUAAACUUCGGGGAGGUGCCUAGCAACCUGUGAUCCGAAGAUGUCCGAAUGAGGAAACUCUAUUAAGUGAACCUUAAUAAUCCCGAUGUAAAAGUUGGGAAGCAUACCCGGGGAAGUGAAACAUCUCAGUACCCGGAGGAAAAUAAAAUAAGCCUCCGCAUUAGCGGAGGAAAUAUUCCCCUAGUAGCGGCGAGCGAAACGGGAAAAGCCCAAACCAUUAGUCGCAAGAUUAAUGGGGUUGUAAGGUAGCGACACAAUUAAAAUUGGAAGAGUUACAAAAUUAAAAUUUAGCUGAAGUCGCUGGGAAGCGGCGCUCAAUAAGGUGAUAGCCCUGUAAGCGAAAAAUUUUAGUCUCUUUAGUUGCUAUUCUUGAGUAAUUCGAGGAACGAUAGCCUUGAGUGAAUCCGGCGGCACUAACCGCCAAGGCUAAAUACAGUUAGAGAUCGAUAGUGAACCAGUACCGUGAGGGAAAGGUGAAAAGCAGUCCGGAAGGACUUUGAAAUAGACCUGAAACCAUAUGCUUACAAGGAGUCGGAGCUUCGACAUAAAAAUCGAGGUGACGGCGUGCCUAUUGAAGAAUGAGCCAACGAGUUAAUGCCUAUUGCUUAGCUAAGUCUCGUAAGGGAUGGAGCUCGAGGGAAACCGAGUGUUAAAAGCGCGUCUUUUUAUAUUUAUAUAAAAUGUAGUAGGUAUUAGACCCGAAGCCAGGUGAGCUUGCCAUGAGCAGGGUGAACCCCAUCGAAAGGUGGGAGGAGGCCCGAACCGGUGAGUCGUUCAACUCUCUCGGAUGACUUGUGGUAAGGAGUGAAAAGCUAAUCGAACCUGGUAAUAGCUGGUUCUCUCCGAAAUAUCUUUUGGGAUAGCGUCUAAUUUACCUCUUGGGGGUAGAGCACUGGAAGGUCUCGACAGGGCGAAAGCUCGCGAGACCUAUCAAACUCCGAAUACCAAGAGUCAAUUAUUAGGCAGUUAGACUACGGGCGCUAAGGUCCGUUGGUCAAAAGGGAAACAGCCCAGAUCUCAAUCUAAGGUCCCUAAAUCUAUACUCAGUGCACUUAAGGAGGUGUAAUUUCUCGGACAAUGAGGAUGUUGGCUUAGAAGCAGCCAUCAUUUAAAGAAAGCGUAAUAGCUCACUCAUCAAGAGAUUGUGCGCCGCAGAUUAUCGGGGCUUAAGUAUAGUACCGAAGGUGAGGGAAUUAGAGGUUGGAGAUUUGAGGUGGGAAGUUAGAUAAUCUAAUUUCUAACUUUUAACCUCCAACUUCUAGUUCGGUAGGAGAGUGUUUUUAACCGCUGUGAAGCCACGUCGUGAGUCGUGGUGGAGCGUUAGGAAGUAAGAAUGUUGGCACAAGUAACCGCAAUCACGCUGAGAACGCGUGACGCCGAAAGACUAAGGUUUCCUUGGCAAUGGCAAUCAGCCAAGGGUUAGUCGGGCCUAAGGGGAUGACGAAAGUCGCACCCGAUGGACACAUGGUUAAUAUUCCAUGACUUUGUGGUAGUGCGAUGGGGUGACGGAGGGUAGUAUGUCGUGCGUAUUAUUGAAUUUAUGUUUUGUUAGUGAGGCGAGCUCCUAGGCAAAUCCGGGAGCGGACGUAAGUCGACGCCAAUCUAACAAGAAACCCAAGGGUACGCCUGCGGGAAUACGACAAAGCACGCUCCCAAGAAAAACCUCUAAGCAUAACUAUCACAAAACCGUACCGUAAACCGACACAGGUAGUCAGGUCGAGAAGACCAAGGCGAACGGGUGAUUGCUCCUCAAGGAACUCGGCAAAAAAGCGGCCGUAAGUUCGCGAUAAGGCCUGCCCUCCGUAAAACGGGGGCCGCAGCUAAAGAAUCCCUGGCGACUGUUUACCAAAAACACAGCUCCCUGCGAACUCGUAAGAGGAUGUAUAGGGGGUGACACCUGACCAAUGCCAGAAGGUCAAACAAGGUCGGUCUGAUGUCGUAAGAUGUUAGGCUAACUUUGUAAGCCCUGGUCAAUGUCGGCGAUAACUAUAAUCGUCCUAAGGUAGCGAAAUUCCUUGUCUGGUAAGUUCAGACGCGCACGAAUGGUGUAACGACUAGGGAACUGUCUCGAGGAGUAGCCCGGUGAAAAUACAGUGGGGGUGAAGAUGCCCUCUACCUGCAGCUAGACGAAAAGACCCCAGAAGCUUUACUACAGCUUGAUAUUGAGCAUACGUUUGCACUGCGUAGCAUAGGUGGGAGAGUUUGAAGUCAUGAUUUCGGUUGUGAUGGACUCAACAGUGAAAUACCACUCUGUGCGAAGGUAUGUUCUAACCGCCGCGGCAAAAACGCGGCGAGACAGUAUCUGGUAGGUAGUUUUAGUGGGGCGCUAUCCUCCUAAAAAGUACCGGAGGAGUUUAUUAAGGUCCCCUAGGCGCGAAUGGAAACCGUGCCGAUAGUGUAAUGGCACAAGGGGGCUUGACUGCAAGGCGUGAAUGCCGAGCAGGUGCGAAAGCAGAACAUAGUGAUCCGACGAUCCGUAUUAGACGUGGUCGAAGCUCAUCUGACAAAAGCUACUCUGGGGAUAACAGGCUAGUUCCGCCCAAGCGUCCAUAGCGACGGCGGAGUUCGGCACCUCGAUGUCGGCUCAUCUUAUCCUGGGGCUGGAGAAGGUCCCAAGGGUAUGGCUGUUCGCCAUUUAAAAAGAUACGCGAGCUGGGUUCAGACCGUCGUGAGACAGGUUGGUCUCCUAUCUGCUGCAGGCGUUGAAUGUUGAAAAGAGUUGUUCUUAGUACGAGAGGACCGGAACGAACUGACCUCUGGUCUGGGGGCUGUCCUAUCAAGGGCACCGCCCCGUAGCUAUGUCGGGAAUGGAUAACCGCUGAAAGCAUCUAAGCGGGAAGCCAACUUUAAGAUUAACGUUCGUUAUGAGACCCGUGGGAGAUGACCACGUUGAUAGGCUUUAGGUGUAAGUCCAGUAAUGGAUUCAGCCGUGAAGUACUAAUUCGUCCAUU